AAAAACAAAAGAAGAAGAAUGCUGGGGGUGUACUUCCGGUGGUGGCGGAAGGCCUCGUCAUGGUGAAGUCUUGCUGGGCUGCUGGCUGCAAAAAUCGCUUUGUAAGCGGAGGAUCAGUCACGUUUCAUGUGUUUCCAAAGGAGCCUGUUCUACGCGAGCAGUGGAUCAAAGCAGUCAACAGGAGCAGCUGCACUAGUGCGAAGCCACGGCAGCCAAAUCCGCACGACUAUGUAUGUUCUGAACAUUUUCAGCACUCAGACUUCAUCCUUUCACGUCACGCUUGUCACAAAAGACUCAAGAAAGAUGCAGUGCCAUCGCUCAAGACGGAGACGAACAAACAGAAAGACACUACCAGGACAUCACAAAGGAGCCAGACAGCUUCAGCAGCACCAGAUCCUCCUUGGGAGCCUCGAGCAGUGCCUUCAGCAUCGCUCGCAGAUCUCGUCAGUGUUGACCACCAGUACGCUUGUGACCCUGUAACGAUGAAACACAAAUAUGAUGCAUUAAGAGAGCAACUUGAAAAUGCCAGACAGGAACUCUGUAAUGUUAGGAGUGAAAGAACAGCUAAAAUGUCUCUUGAUGAAGUGAAGGGGAUGCGUGCUGUGCCUGAUGAAGCUAGUGGAAUGCUGGAGGCAUGCGAAGAUACACCGAUUAAUUUAUGUAUCGAGUCAGCAAACGAAUACACUCAGGAAGUGAAAGUUUGCAUCAGCAGUCUUUCUGUGGACCCAAGGCACGCUUGUGUUGGAGAGAGAAAUUAAACCUCCCGCGCCUGUCAACACAAUUGAAGAAGACAGAUACAGGAACUACACUGAGGAGUUCUAACAGGCCUUUGACAGAGUGAAGAAGAUGACAGUGAAAUCGCUGCGGUGUCCUGACAGGCCACACUGAUGGCUGCUGGUGCAAAGCUGUUUUUGUAACGUUUGGUUUUACAAGCUGGUACCCUGAACCUCCGACCUGAAGGGUUUUUGAGUACCAUACACGGUGCGUGCAUGUUUGUGAUUCACCUAACGGAGCACAUUCACACUUGAAAGUGAACUGGCUUUUGCUUGUAUGAUGAUGUGUUGUUUUGAGAUGCAUUUGUCACUCAUUUUUCUACUUUUCUGGUGUCUUACUUAUGAGCUGUCCCAUGAUUGCUGAGGGUGAGACACUGCUAAGACUGAAUGCAUCCAGAUCCAGACUGUGGAGACUCAAACCCUUUCUCUGUGUCAAUGUGGAGACUUUAGGAAGAGCAGGGAGUUGAAAGAUGACUUCCAUCCAGCCAGCUCUGUGACUACAGCUUCUGAAGAUGAGUGCACCAAAGGGUCUUUGGAAACAGGUGCAUAUGAACUGCUGCUGAGGAGCAGUGGACAAAGAGAAUAAUUCUCCAGCAUCAACUGAACAUUUUCUAAGUACUGUGCAAAAGGGAUCCCAAGAAUAUUUUGGACCUGGUCAUCACGCCACCCCGCCUGGUAUUAAUUCUUAUUUCUGUGUGGUUAAUCCAUACACAUUUUUCUUUAUGAAUAAUCACGUUACAGACAUAAAAAAUACACCGCUUCAUUUCUGAUAUACCAAGGUGAUGUGUGCAAAUUAAAUGUUCAUCUGUCCAGCAGUCUAAAUAGAUACUUUUUACAAAGAGAAAGAAAGAAACCAUCAUUUGACAAGAUGAAAACAUCAAGAUGAAAGCUGACAAAUUUGUUUAAACCUUUUCAUAAUUUCUGCUCGAGCUUUAAUCGCGUGUUAUUUCCACGUCACCUGGGAUCAGCCUUAACUUUAUUACUGAUGGAGGAGCAAACACAAGUCUAUUGUGGAAGGUCCUACAACAACGACUUUAAAGACGUGGAAACACACCAAGGAUUUGUUGAAAAAACUGUAACAUGCAUGGAUGGUGUUGUAAUUAUUACAUUUUAAUCUGGUAUUUAUUACAUUUUAAAUGGGUAUACAUGUACAUAUUUGCCAUUGGACUAAGCGGUUGAAGAUGGAGUGUGUACAUAUUUGGUUCAUAAGUAUUUAGAUUGUGACUAUUAUUAUUUUGCCUCUGCAUCAACACAAUGGAGCUAAAAUGAAAAGAUGUGCUGUCCGAUUUAAUUCAAGAGGUUUAACAAUGGAAUGGCAGCUAUUUUUAUACGUACUGUGCUCUAGCUCAUAAGUAAUUAGAAAUUCCAGGAGUAUUUUUUAUCACAUUCAUAGCCAGUUUUUGUUAGACAUGUCAGGGCGUGGAUACAUGAACAUUUACGAGUCCUUGAAUAUGUCUUAGACUUUAUUUACAUCAAUCAAUAAAUACUAGCUAUGGUAAA